GCAGGAAAGUGUGACAACAUUGAUACUAGUUUGCUUAUGUAAGUGGAGAAUAUUUAUUGUAUGAUCCAGGAAGAAAGAAGGCAGACGUAAGGACUACGUGUUGCUGUGAAGGACUUGUUUUUGAUCGAGACUUUUGCAUUGGAUAUGUGGAACACUAACCCAGGAAUGCCGCCUCAGCAACCUUACCCUCCUGGUCCUGGACCCUAUCCAGGACCAGGCAUGCAUCCACCCCCAUACCCAGGCUACCCUAGCCCACAUCCCCCACCUCCUGGCUAUCCUGGUCCAUGUGGGCCCCCUCCUCCCCCUCCCCACCACCACCAUGGGCACCAUGGGCACCAUCACCAUGGACCCCUCCACCAUUUGCUCCACCACCAUGGGCAUCAUCACCAUGGACACCACCACCAUGGGCAUCACUAACAUGGGCACAGCCAUCGUGGCGAAAAGCUCCAGGAGCAUCUUGGAUUCAGGAUGAAGAUGUCCUUUCCUGCUCUCAGGAGCAGCUCAGCUUUCCAGCAAUUUAGGCUACUAUUAAAAUUACUCUGGAGUUCUUCAGUAUCUCUGUGACACAUUGGUUGUUGUCCACUUCUUACUCAUUGGCACCAUUAAUUUAGUGUGAUUAAGUAAACAAUUCCAACAAAAAAUCA